ACCCAAAGAGCACUCUUUUUCAGCCAGAGAUCCCAGAACCAGCCGUUGUCCCCUAGCAAAAGAGGCCCAGUGCUAAACCCUGGGCAAGUGUCUGCAGACAUCCCCACCUCUCCUCCCAUUCUUAGUCUCCUUUCCCAAGAGAAACCAUUUCCUUCUGCCACUAACAUUAGGCUGCAUCCAAAAGUUUCUCACAAGCUUUAACAAAGAAAAGCGAAAAAUUGACACCACUAUACAGAAGAAGUCCAAAAGCUGCCGCAGCACCAGGGCAGAGAAGCAGCGUCAGACGCAGGAACCCAAUAAAGCUGCAUGUUUUCAGAAACCUAGACCAUUGACUGCUUUGCUGCAUAUAAACUGAUAAUUAAGUUGUGCGGGCUGCAUCAUUCCUCCCAGGCCUUGGUGCAAUCAGACAAGCCAACCUCCUCCAGAUCCUAUCGCCAAGACCACGGGGUCACUUGUGCUAGGCCCAGGACUGAGGCCUGCAGGACACAGAGCGAUGCUUGCAAGCCAUGCUGGGGAGAAAGUAUACUUCUCACUGGCCUCUGUCAGAGAAGUUACCUACCCUAUCUCUUUCUUAUAAUUUUCAUAAAUUCUUUGACUGAUUUCAGAAAAAAGUGUGUUUUUGUUUUUUGAUUCUUCUUUGCAGUUUGUACAUUGAGGUCCUCUGAAGGAAGCCUAGGACAGGCACAGGGUUGGGACUCUGCUGUGGGCCAGGCCCAGACUCAGGAGUGGCAGAGGAAAACUGUCACAUGUAAUUGUGGAGCUGGGAGCCCCAAGUCAGACCAGCUCUCACUCUCUCCCAAAAGACAGCUGCUCCCUCCCCCACUACUAAGAAACAGUAGGGUUUGGUAGGUGAUGAUCCACUAUUUAGGAGGUUUGAAAUUCACAUUUGUCAUUUCAGAGUUAAGUCCUAAGUGACAGUCCUUUUAAUCAUGUAGAAAAUAAGAAACUUGCUUAAAAUUUUUCAUGGAAAUACCACUGAAUUAAGAGAAUUUUUAAAAAGUCAUCUCCACAUAAAUGUGUACAAAACGUUGAUAGUAGCAGUAGGAUUGGUGCUACAGCUUGGUGAUGGAGGAUUUUCAGAACACAGUGUGCAUGGUUCUGGCUUCAAUCGCUAGCACCGGAGGAAAAAAGAAAAGAUGUUCACAGCAGCAUUUUUCAGAAUAGCCAAAAAGGAAAAAGAAUUCAAAUGCCUGCCAGCAAAUGAAUAAGCAUAAUAUGCCAUCACCAUGUAGUGAGAUAUUCUUCAGAAAUAAAAGUAAAUUAAAUAUUAAUCUCUAUGACAUCAUGGAUGACUCUUAAAAGAUCAUGCUAAGUAAAAGAUGUCAGUCACAAAGGCUGGCUUCCUGUCUGAGUCCAUUUCUGUGCAAUCUCUAGAGUAUAUAGGCAUCUCUAUAGAGACAGAGAGCAGACCACUGGUUGCCUAGGGGAUGGGGAGAGGGAAUGGACUUGGGUGAUAUCUGAGUGGUGGAGUGCUUUUGGGGGUGAUGAAAAUGUUCUAAAAUAUGAUAAUUGUACAACUUGCUGACUAUAUUAAAAGCCAUAAAAGCCACAUUUUUUAGCCUUUAAAUAGGCAAAUUGUAUAGUGUGCCAAUUAUAUCUCAAUAAAGCCAUUAAAAAAUUUAAA